CUGUUUAUCAAAAACAUUUCUUACCAUUUUUUUAGUAAGUAACACCUGCUCAAUGAAACUUAAAUAGCCGCGGAAAUUUAACCGUGCUAAGGUAGCAUAAUCAUUAGCCUCUUAAUUAGGGGCUUGUAUGAAAGGUAAAACUUUUCAUUAACUGUAAUUAUUGAAUUAAUUGAAUUUUAAUUAGAAAUAAAAAUGUUUCUAUAGAAAAAUUAGACGACAAGACCCUAUUGAACUUCACUUAAGUUUAGCUGGGGCAGCUAAAUAAAAAUUAUUUUAUUUUAAGUUUUUUAUUGGAAAUCUAAUACUAUUAAUAGUAAACAAGUUACCAUAGGGAUAACAGCGUUAUAUUUUUUCAAAGCUCUUAUUAAAAAAAAAGAUUACGACCUCGAUGUUGAAUUAGUGAAACUUUUAGGUGAAGGAAUUUUUUAAGUUGGUCUGUUCGACCAUUAAACCACUACAUGAUCUGAGUUCAAA
rnacentral:rRNA from 1 species